GAUUACAGAGGGAGGCGGAAUAAUUUGAGAGUGAAGGGUCUGCCGGAACAAGAUAGGGAAGACCUGCAAGCAGUGCUCCGCGAACUCUUCAACCUCGUACUAGGCCGACCCAUCGACACUCAAAUUAUCUUCGACAGGACCCACAGGGCCCUACGCCCUAGGAGUGCUGCCACGGAUGCACCCCGGGACGUGGUGUGCCAAUU